CAUUUACUCCCUCCGUUGCACAAUACAUGCCUUCUAUUUGUCAAAAUAUAUAUGUAUCUAGACAUGUCUUAGUAUAUAGGUACAUCCAUUUUUGGACAAAUGAAAGUCAAGUAUUUUGGAACGGAGGGAGUACACA
rnacentral:pre_miRNA from 1 species